CCUACGGGUGGCAGCAGUGGGGAAUAUUGGACAAUGGGCGAAAGCCUGAUCCAGCCAUGCCGCGUGUGUGAAGAAGGCCUUCGGGUUGUAAAGCACUUUCAGUGGGGAAGAAAGCCUUGGGGCUAAUACCCUCGAGGAAGGACAUCACCCACAGAAGAAGCACCGGCUAACUCCGUGCCAGCAGCCGCGGUAAUACGGAGGGUGCGAGCGUUAAUCGGAAUUACUGGGCGUAAAGCGCGCGUAGGCGGUCUGAUAAGCCGGUUGUGAAAGCCCCGGGCUCAACCUGGGAACGGCAUCCGGAGGGGUAAGGAAAGAGAGCAGUAGAGUAAGGGAGAAAGCACGGGGUGGAGGUGCAAUGAGUAGAGAUCGGGAGGAAUCACAGGGGAGAAGGCGGUCGGCUGGAAGGACAUCGACGCUGAGGUGAGAAAGAGGUGGUAGAAAAAAGGAGUAGAUAACAUGGUAGUC
rnacentral:rRNA from 1 species